CAGUGACAAUGUGCGGAUGGAUGAUAUAGCAGCUCCUAAGUUACUCCAUGGUUUGCCAUCGGUGAAUGUCCAUUGCAAUGGAUGCAGCACGCAACUUGGCGGCAGAUUUAUUUCGCCUGACAUUCCAAGGUUUCAUGAACGUUAUCUACUUCUUUUGGACCGGAUGCUGUAUUGGGAUGGAACCCGAGGGUUGUGUGAUGCUGCCACACACGAGCCAGUCAA